rnacentral:rRNA from 1 species
AGACUUCGGUCUGCUACUCUUACCCAUGUCUUUUGAGUACUUCGUUUCCUCGGCGGGUCCGCCCGCCGGUUGGACAACAUUCAAACCCUUUGCAGUUGCCAUCAGCGUCUGAAAAAACUUAAUAGUUACAACUUUCAACAACGGAUCUCUUGGUUCUGGCAUCGAUGAAAACGCACGAAAUGCGAUAAGUAUGUGAAUUUGCAGAAUUCAGUUGAAUCAUCGAAUCUUUGAACGCACAUUGCUGCCCCUUGGUAUUCCAUGGGGCAUGCCUGUAUCGAGCGUCAUUUUGUACCUUCAAGCUCUGCUUGGUGUUAGGGUGUUUUGUCUCGCCUACCGGCGCCAGACUCGCCUUAAAACAAUUGGCAGCACGGCGUAUUAGAUAUUCGGANCCGCAGUACAUUCUCGCGCUUUGCACCUCCAUAAACGAACGGACGUCCAAAAGUACAUUUUUACACUCUUGACCUCGGAUCAGGUAAUGGAUAACCCGCUGAACUUUAAGCAUAUUCAAUAAG